GAGUUUUGAUCAUGGCUCAGAUUGAACGCUGGCGGCAGGCCUAACACAUGCAAGUCGAACGGUAACAUUUCUUGCUUGCUCGUCGCUGACGAGUGGCGGACGGGUGAGUAAUGCUUGGGAACUUGCCUUUGCGAGGGGGAUAACAGUUGGAAACGACUGCUAAUACCGCAUAAUGUCUUCGGACCAAACGGGGCUUCGGCUCCGGCGCAAAGAGAGGCCCAAGUGAGAUUAGCUAGUUGGUAAGGUAACGGCUUACCAAGGCGACGAUCUCUAGCUGUUCUAUGAGGAAGGAUCA
rnacentral:rRNA from 1 species